AACGGUGGAUCACUUGGCUCGUACGUCGAUGAAAAACGAGGCGAGACUCGAAAGUUUAUGUGAAUUGCAGCCACGUUGAACAUAGAAAUUUUGAACGCACAUUGCGGUGUUGAGUUGACUCGACGCCGCGUCUGUCUGAGGGUCAUUACU
rnacentral:rRNA from 1 species